UACGUAGGUGGCAAGCGUUGUCCGGAUUUAUUGGGUUUAAAGGGUGCGUAGGCGGUUCUAUAAGUCAGUGGUGAAAUCCGGCAGCUCAACUGUCGAUGUGCCAUUGAUACUGCAGAACUUGAGUACAGACGAGGUAGGCGGAAUUGACGGUGUAGCGGUGAAAUGCUUAGAUAUCGUCAAGAACACCGAUAGCGAAGGCAGCUUACCAGACUGUAACUGACGCUGAUGCACGAAAGUGUGGGGAUCAAACAGG
rnacentral:rRNA from 1 species